rnacentral:rRNA from 1 species
AGGGAAGUCGGCAAACCCGAUCUGUAACUUCGGGAUAAGGAUUGGCUCUGAGGAUCGUGGCGCGCCGGGCUUGGUCGGGAAGUGGAGCGGUGCCAACGUGCCGGGCCUGGGCGAGGUGAAGGGCGCUCGUCGUCUGGACCCUAGCUCGGUCCCGUGCCUUGGCCACCCACGGACCUUCCUUGCUGCGAGCCUCCCGGCUGUCUAGUUUUCGGCCCAGCCGGAGUACGGGCCGGAAGGCUCUUCGGCCGCCAUAGAACGAUCAACUUAGAACUGGCACGGACCAGGGGAAUCCGACUGUC